UUUAGCAAGCCUCAUAAGUCGUUCAGAAUCAGUAAAAGUGAAACUUUCUAAAUUCUCAUCUUUGUUAGAAGUAAAUGUAAAAGCAUUAAGCAUACCAAAGCUUCAACAUGUACAACUGACAUUUUUGGAAUUGGCUUUGGAAGGGAAACCUCAAUGCCACCACAAAACAGUUGUAUAUGGUAAUGGAUGGAUUUAAAUAGCAUCGAGAAAGUGAAACUUUCUAAAUGUCCUCAAGGGGAAAAUGGCAUAGUCACUUUCUAUUGAAGAAAUUACUAAAACCAUAUUUCAUUUGGCUGAUGUUCUUGGGAUUUUUCUGAGUGGUUUUCAUUGUUUUUCACUUUGUAGUAGAUAUGGUUUUCAUCUGAGCUUUUAUUUCUUCUUCUUCUUCUUCUUCUUUUUAUGUUGUUGAAGUUCACAUCCUGGAUAGAAGACAAUUCAACUAAUAUAUCUACUGUGUAAGGGUAUGAAUUUGAGCAUGGUAUUGAAUUGUAGAAGCUGCGAAACACUAAAAAUUACUUUCACAGUUAACUGUAUUACCUUUUGGUUUUGUUUUCA